rnacentral:tRNA from 1 species
UCCCUGGUGGCUCAGAUGGUAAAGAAUCUGCCUGCAAUGCAGGAGACCCAGGUUCAACCCCUGGGUUGGGAA